GCCAGGCUAACUCUGUGCCAGCAGCCGCGGUAAUACAGAGGGUGCAAGCGUUAAUCGGAUUUACUGGGCGUAAAGCGCGCGUAGGCGGCUAAUUAAGUCAAAUGUGAAAUCCCCGAGCUUAACUUGGGAAUUGCAUUCGAUACUGGUUAGCUAGAGUGUGGGAGAGGAUGGUAGAAUUCCAGGUGUAGCGGUGAAAUGCGUAGAGAUCUGGAGGAAUACCGAUGGCGAAGGCAGCCAUCUGGCCUAACACUGACGCUGAGGUGCGAAAGCAUGGGGAGCAAACAGGAUUAGAUACCCUGAUAGUCCAUGCCGUAAACGAUGUCUACUAGCCGUUGGGGCCUUUGAGGCUUUAGUGGCGCAGCUAACGCGAUAAGUAGACCGCCUGGGGAGUACGGUCGCAAGACUAAAACUCAAAUGAAUUGACGGGGGCCCGCACAAGCGGUGGAGCAUGUGGUUUAAUUCGAUGCAACGCGAAGAAACUUACCUGGCCUUGACAUAGUAAGAACUUCCAGAGAUGGAUUGGUGCCUCGGGAACUUCUUCCGGUGCUGAUGGCUGCGUCAGCUCGUGU
rnacentral:rRNA from 1 species